rnacentral:lncRNA from 1 species
UGAAGGUAGCAUUGCCCUGGAGGCCCGGGAACAAUGAAGGUGGCAUCUCAGUGGUGAGAGCAGCGGAGUCGAACUCCCUUUCUAGGUUGCGGUGUGCAUCUGAUGAUCCCAUGGUACCUACACAUAAACAGAGUGAGAAACCAUUCUAACGACGAAAGAAUAAACCCCUAUUUACCGAUUGGAGUCCCAAUGUAAGAAAUCCAAUAAGAAAUCCCGGCUUCCGGUGCAGAGACCGUUAAAAAAUUCCCUUCCAAGUAAUUCUACACUCGGGGAAAUAAACCCAGAGUAUAGAUUGAGAAAACGGGGCCCUCAAUAAAACUUCCACAGACGCAAAAUACCCAGGGAUAAAUACAAGCAGAGCUACCACCAGAAGAUAUGUUAGCACGAUUGCAUUAAACAUAAUAAGAAAAGGAAUUAUGUAAGAGACGAAGCUAAUAAUUUCGAAGAUUAGUCAAGGAAAACAUGGAGAAGCAUGAAUAAUCGUUUCCCAUAAGUGAAGAUCAUUCACAAAACAACAAUAUGGAUCUCACCAUAAUUAAGACAAAGUGUUUAAUCAUCAUAUUAUUGAGGUAAAACUCUUGUGUCAACGACAAUAAACACUCUCGACAUCGACGAUUAACCACAAAAACCCAUAAAUCCACAACAAAGAACUCCAAUACAUCAGGAUCAAAGCAUAACCUCCCAAUUCAAUCACCGAAAUCGAAGAUUAACCACGAAAAUCAUGGAAAACGCCCAUAAACCCCCUCCCUUAAACGAAAAGCAUCUAUAAACCCCCAGCACAAAGCCAACAUAACAAAAACAGGGCAGCAACUCCGAUCCAACGGUAUAGAACGAAGAUUUGUCAUUCAGGCAAAUGAAGUAACGGUAAUUAUCAACCUUAAACGAAGAAGACCCACAGAUUUAACCACACGAGCCCAAGCACAACGAAGACUAACCAUAGAAACCAUGGAAACACUGAUAAACAUCCUUCUUAAAUGAAAAAUAC